rnacentral:rRNA from 1 species
UACGUAGGGUGCGAGCGUUAAUCGGAAUUACUGGGCGUAAAGCGUGCGCAGGCGGCGCCGCAAGUCAGGCGUGAAAUCCCCGAGCUUAACUUGGGAAUGGCGCUUGAAACUACGGUGCUGGAGUGUGGCAGAGGGAGGUGGAAUUCCAGGUGUAGCGGUGAAAUGCGUAGAGAUCUGGAGGAACACCGAUGGCGAAGGCAGCCUUCUGGGCCAACACUGACGCUCAUGCACGAAAGCGUGGGGAGCAAACAGG